GACGAACUGCCCAACCGUUGUUCGGAAUCACUGGGCUUAAAGGGCGCGUAGGCGGCAGAUCAAGUCAGGGGUGAAAUCCGGCAGCUCAACUGUCGAAGUGCCUUUGAUACUGAUUUGCUCGAGGGAGAUAGGGGUCUGCGGAACUUCUGGUGGAGCGGUGAAAUGCGUUGAUAUCAGAAGGAACGCCGGUGGCGAAAGCGGCGGACUGGAUCUCUUCUGACGCUGAGGCGCGAAAGCUAGGGGAGCAAACGGG
rnacentral:rRNA from 1 species